rnacentral:rRNA from 1 species
UACGAAGGGGGCUAGCGUUGCUCGGAAUCACUGGGCGUAAAGCGCACGUAGGCGGCUUUUUAAGUCAGGGGUGAAAUCCUGGAGCUCAACUCCAGAACUGCCUUUGAUACUGAGAAGCUUGAGUCCGGGAGAGGUGAGUGGAACUGCGAGUGUAGAGGUGAAAUUCGUAGAUAUUCGCAAGAACACCAGUGGCGAAGGCGGCUCACUGGCCCGGUACUGACGCUGAGGUGCGAAAGCGUGGGGAGCAACAGGAUUAAGA